GACGAACGCUGGCGGCGUGCUUAACACAUGCAAGUCGAACGAAGUGGCGAACGGGUGAGUAACGCGUAAUCAACCUGCCAUUCAGAGGGGGACAACAGUUGGAAACGACUGCUAAUACCGCAUACUGAAGGAGGGGAUUGCGUCGGAUUGGCUAGUUGGAGGGGUAACGGCCCACCAAGGCGAUGAUCAGUAGCCGGUCUUGAAGGAUGGACGGCCAAAUUGGGACUGAGGCACGGGCCAGACUCCUACGGGGGGCAGCAAUGGGGAAUCUUCCGCCAUGGACGGAAGUCUGACGGAGCAACGCCGCGUUAGGGAUGACGGCCUUCGGGUUGGAAAGCUCUGUUAAUCGGGGCGCGGUACCGGAAUAGAAAGCCACGGCUAACUACGUGCCAGCAGCCGCGGUAAUAC
rnacentral:rRNA from 1 species